UGUAAGAGAAGUAAAUGUAUUUAAUAAGAUGGGACACAAUAUCUGGCGUUCCAACAACAAUAGAAAAUUAAACUAAAAAUGACAUAAAUUAACAUGACAUAAUUAAUGAAACAGACGACCUCAACGACAAACUAAAUUGCCACUUUAUUGAAACAAAAAAGGAACAAUGGUGGAAAAUGGAAAUGAUCCAAGACACUUCAAGCAACACAGUAAGGCCAAAGCUCUUCCUCAGCUGCAGCAGAUUCUGCGCCAACCCCAACAAUGUUCUCAUCAUUGCAAUAGUAAUAGCCACCGUUAUUGGUAGCAGUAAGGCAGCAAGAUGAAUUGGUAACAAGGUAAGGCAUAUUGUUGAAUGACUGAGCUAAGCUGCUGGCUAAAGAUGCAAAUGCAAGCCCUUUAUCUUCUUCUUGUUCGUCG
rnacentral:lncRNA from 1 species